AGAGAAUAAGAUUCAUCUCUUGUCAAAUAAAAAGGAAGAAAAUAUUUUUAAAUAAUUUUACAAAAAGGAAUAUACGAAUUGAACCUUAGACACUAAAUUACAGAAAAAGAUAAAAGGAAUGGGAAUAGUAAAACCGAUCAGGCAUGAGGGCAUUUUCAAAAAAUGUAAGUAUUCUUCCCAAGAACAGGCAAGAGAAAAAGAGCCAAAACUCCUGCUAUGCAGCAAAUAACACUGAAUCCAAACUAAAAUGAAUCAGAGAUAUAUAAUUAAAAUGAAUUAAAUACAAAUAAUUUUAUUUUGAUUCAACGGCAUUUCUUGACGAGAAGGCUGUGAGAGAGGAGGAAAAGACCGACACGGAUAAUGGGGUGAGGUUUUGGGUUCUCUUCCGCCACGGAUAGGAGCGAUCGGUCUCGAGG
rnacentral:lncRNA from 1 species